CGGAGCGGAGAAAGCAAACAGUGGGGGCUCCAAGCACUGUCUGCUUUAUCCGCUCCUG
rnacentral:pre_miRNA from 1 species